rnacentral:lncRNA from 1 species
UUUUCUUCUAAUUGAUUUUUUGGCUUUCGGUUGUAUUUUCAGGUAAUAUCAAGUUUCAUGUAUUGUAGAACCUCACCUGAUUUAAGACAUGCUAAAAAGGGCAUAAAACCUAAAGUUGUUUUUUAAAUAUUUUAUUUGAAAUCUGAUUUUGAUAGAUUAUGACUUUAGACAUGUUAGAUGACAUAUAAUUUUGAAUAUUAACCAGAUUUUAACUUACUCAUACAGUAUCCAAGUUAAAGGGGAGUAAACAUGGUUUAUUUAGUCUGUGUAACCCUUUAGCAAUUAUAGAAGUCAGAUUUUUUUUCAGAGUGUGUUAUUAAACAGUUUUACAUAUACUUUUGAAUCAUUAUUAUUCAAGGGAUACCAAUUUUCAUGUAACUUGUUGUAACAAGUUAAACACAAAUGUUAAAUUAAUUACAAAUUUUCUAAAGGCUUGUAUGGAGACUUAGGCCAAACCAGAAAUCAAAUAGCUAUGUAAAUGCAAGUUUUUCUAAAUCAAUGAAAAUUGAUAUUCACAAAAACAAAUGAAUCAUUUGGUAAUCAUGUAAAACAAAACAUAAAGGCUUGCCAGAAUCUGAUUUAUAUACAUUUUUUUCUAAGUGUUUUUCUUAGGUGUCUACUUUUCAACUUUUCAAAUUUUGAACACGUGAGAUGUUCCUUUGUGGAUAUAUUUUGGGGAUAAAUUUGUAUAAGAACUGUUUCACAAUGGUUAUAGUAAUAUUUAAGCUUACUUUCUGCAGUCAAACUAUUGCUUUUUAAAAUAUUUUUACUUUCAACCAAUUAUUGAUAAAUCAGUUAGGUAAACAUGCAAGGUAGCUUUGACAUUCUCUCUAUUUUGUAAACAAACAAUUUGUUGACAUACAUGUACCACUACACAUCAUGAAUAGGAAAAUUUCCAAGUUUCUUUUCAAUUAUUUUUUGGAGGCUCCCACCAAUAUCAAGAAAGUUGACACCUUAAACUUUAUAACUUGAAUUAACUAGUUUGUUAUAUAUAGUAAUGUUAUUUUAUAGGUUACCGGUAUGC